UUUUUAAGGAAAAACGAAAAACCACACUUUCAAAUCGUUGUGGUGUGCGGAAGGAGCAAGGGUAGCGUUGGAAUUGGUAAAUGGAAAAUUAUGUAAACAGUUUUAUGCGAAAAAUUAAUGUUUAAUAAUAUUUUGGGAGGAAUGACAGAAGAAAAAUGAGUGUGUGUGAAAGAAACGAAAAACUGUGAUGGACUAUUCUUUUGUGUUCUUUCUUGUGGUUGUGAUUCUGAUGUUGGGUGCAAAAUAAUAAGAAUGUUGGUGGGAAGAGGAAGAUGGGAAAAAUUAGUUUGUAUUGUUGUUUUGUUGCAAAAUGUUGUUUGUGUG